UAAUACGUAGGGGACUAGCGUUGUCCGGAAUCAUUGGGCGUAAAGAGCGCGUAGGCGGCCAGAUAAGUCCGGUGUGAAAGUCAAAGGCUCAACCUUUGAAUGCCGCUGGAAACUGUCUGGCUAGAGUCCGGAAGGGGCGAGUGGAAUUCCUGGUGUAGUGGUGAAAUGCGCAGAUAUCAGGAGGAACACCAAUGGCGAAGGCAGCUCGCUGGAACGGUACUGACGCUGUGGCGCGAAAGCGU
rnacentral:rRNA from 1 species